UACGUAGGGAGCAAGCGUUGUCCGGAAUCAUUGGGCGUAAAGCGCGCGUAGGCGGGUCGUUAAGUCGGGGGUGAAAUCCUGGAGCUCAACUCCAGAACUGCCUUCGAUACUGGCGAUCUUGAGUCCGGGAGAGGUGAGUGGAACUCCGAGUGUAGAGGUGAAAUUCGUAGAUAUUCGGAAGAACACCAGUGGCGAAGGCGGCUCACUGGCCCGGUACUGACGCUGAGGUGCGAAAGCGUGGGGAGCAAACAGG
rnacentral:rRNA from 1 species